rnacentral:rRNA from 1 species
UACAGAGGUCUCAAGCGUUGUUCGGAUUCAUUGGGCGUAAAGGGUGCGUAGGCGGCGGGGCAAGUCUGAUGUGAAAUCCCGGGGCUCAACCCCGGAACUGCAUUGGAUACUGCCUUGCUAGAGUACUGGAGAGGAGACUGGAAUUUACGGUGUAGCAGUGAAAUGCGUAGAUAUCGUAAGGAAGGCCAGUGGCGAAGGCGAGUCUCUGGACAGUUACUGACACUGAGGCACGAAGGCCAGGGGAGCAAACGGG